rnacentral:rRNA from 1 species
GGUGUAGGCGGCUUGGCAAGUCGGAUGUGAAAUCCCAGGGCCCAACCCUGGAACUGCAUUCGAAACUGCCUCGCUAGAGUCCCGGAGAGGGUGGCGGAAUUCCCGGUGUAGGGGUGAAAUCCGUAGAUAUCGGGAGGAACACCAGUGGCGAAGGCGGCCACCUGGACGGUGACUGACGCUCAGACCCGAAAGCGUGGGGAGCAAACAGGAUUAGAUACCCUGGUAGUC